GGAGGGUUGGCCGAGCGGUUUAAGGCGGCGGUCUUGAAAACCGCUUCCCAUUAGUAAUGGGACGUGGGUUCGAAUCCUACACCCUCCG
rnacentral:tRNA from 1 species